UAGGGAAUCUUCGGCAAUGGGGGUAACCCUGACCGAGCAACGCCGCGUGAGUGAAGAAGGUUUUCGGAUCGUAAAGCUCUGUUGUUAAGGAAGAACGAGUGUGAGAAUGGAAAGUUCAUACUGUGACGGUACUUAACCAGAAAGUGACGGCUAACUACGUGCCAGCAGCCGCGGUAAUACGUAGGUCCCGAGUGUUGUCCGGAUUUAUUGGGCGUAAAGCGAGCGCAGGCGGUUAGAUAAGUCUGAAGUUAAAGGCAGUGGCUCAACCAUUGUAGGCUUUGGAAACUGUUUAACUUGAGUGCAGAAGGGGAGAGUGGAAUUCCAUGUGUAGCGGUGAAAUGCGUAGAUAUAUGGAGGAACACCGGUGGCGAAAGCGGCUCUCUGGUCUGUAACUGACGCUGAGGCUCGAAAGCGUGGGGAGCGAACAGG
rnacentral:rRNA from 1 species